GUGCCAGCAGCCGCGGUAAUACCGGCAGCCCGAGUGAUGGCCGAUCUUAUUGGGCCUAAAGCGUCCGUAGCUGGCUGCGCAAGUCCGUCGGGAAAUCCACUCGCCCAACUGGCGGGCGUCCGGUGGAACCUGCACGGCUUGGAACCGGAAGACCCGACGGGUACGUCUUGGGUAGGAGUGAAAUCCCGUAAUCCUGGACGGACCGCCGAUGGCGAAAGCACGUCGGGAAAACGGAUUCGACGGUGAGGAACGAAAGCCAGGGUCUCGAACCGGAUUAGAUACCCCUGUAGUCC
rnacentral:rRNA from 1 species